rnacentral:rRNA from 1 species
GUGAGGAAUAUUGCGCAAUGGAGGCAACUCUGACGCAGCCAUGCCGCGUGCAGGAAGAAGGCGCUACGCGUUGUAAACUGCUUUUAACCGGGAAGAAACCCCAGGACGUGUCCUGGGUUGACGGUACCGGAGGAAUAAGCACCGGCUAACUUCGUGCCAGCAGCCGCGGUAAUACGAAGGGUGCAAGCGUUAUCCGGAUUCAUUGGGUUUAAAGGGUGCGUAGGCGGAGCGUUAAGUCAGUGGUGAAAUCCUGCAGCUUAACUGUAGACUUGCCAUUGAUACUGGUGCUCUUGAGUGCGCUUGAAGUGGGCGGAAUGUGCCGUGUAGCGGUGAAAUGCUUAGAUAUGGCACAGAACACCAAUUGCGAAGGCAGCUCACUAAGGCGAUACUGACGCUGAGGCACGAAAGCGUGGGGAUCGAACAGGAUUAGAAACCCGAGUAGUCC